AAGUCGUAACAAGGUUUCCGUAGGUGAACCUGCGGAAGGAUCAUUAUUGAAUAAACCUGAUGUGGUUGUAGCUGGCUUUUCGAAGCAUGUGCUCACCCGUCAUCUUUAUCUCUCCACCUGUGCACCUUUUGUAGUCUUGGAUACCUCUCGAGGAAACUCGGAUUUGGGAUCGCUGUGCUGUACAAGUCGGCUUUCCUUGCAUUUCCAAGACUAUGUUUUUAUAUACACCAAAGAAUGUUUAAAGAAUGUCAUCAAUGGGAACUUGUUUCCUAUAAAAACUAUACAACUUUCAGCAACGGAUCUCUUGGCUCUC
rnacentral:misc_RNA from 1 species